rnacentral:rRNA from 2 species
UACAGAGGGUGCAAGCGUUAAUCGGAAUUACUGGGCGUAAAGCGUGCGUAGUCGGCUUUUUAAGUCGGGUGUGAAAUCCCCGGGCUCAACCUGGGAAUUGCAUUCGAUACUGGAUAGCUAGAGUUCGGCAGAGGGAAGUGGAAUUUCUGGUGUAGCGGUGAAAUGCGUAGAUAUCAGAAGGAACAUCAGUGGCGAAAGCGACUUCCUGGACCAGAACUGACGAUCAGGCACGAAAGCGUGGGGAGCAAACAGG